rnacentral:rRNA from 1 species
GUAGGUGGCAAGCGUUGUCCGGAAUUAUUGGGCGUAAAGCGCGCGCAGGCGGUUCGUUUAAGUCUGAUGUGAAAGCCCACGGGCUCAACCGUGGAGGGUCAUUGGAAACUGGAGAACUUGAGUACAGAAGAGGAAAGCGGAAUUCCACGUGUAGCGGUGAAAUGCGUAGAGAUGCGGAGGAACACCAGUGGCGAAGGCGGCUUUCUGGUCUGUAACUGACGCUGAGGCGCGAAAGCGUGGGGAGCAAACAGGAUUAGAUACCCUGGUAGUCCACGCCGUAAACGAUGAGUGCUAAGUGUUAGGGGGUUUCCGCCCCUUAGUGCUGCAGCUAACGCAUUAAGCACUCCGCCUGGGGAGUACGGCCGCAAGGCUG